rnacentral:rRNA from 1 species
GACGAACGCUGGCGGCGUGCUUAACACAUGCAAGUCGAACGGAAAGGCCUGCUUUCCCUUGUGGAUUGCGGGUACUCGAGUGGCGAACGGGUGAGUAACACGUGAGUGAUCUGCCCCCAACUUGGGUAUAAGCCUGGGAAACUGGGUCUAAUUCCCGAUAGGACUGCAGGGUGGUGCCUGUGGUGGAAAACGAUUUUCUAGUGGUUGGGGAUGAGCUCGCGGCCUAUCAGCUUGUUGGUGGGGUAAUGGCCUACCAAGGCGGCGACGGGUAGCCGGCCUGGGAGGGUGGACGGCCACAUUGGGACUGAGAUACGGCCCAGACUCCUACGGGAGGCAGCAGUGGGGAAUAUUGCACAAUGGGCGGAAGCCUGAUGCAGUGACGCCGCGUGGGGGAUGACGGCCUUCGGGUUGUAAACUCCUUUCGACCGCGAGGAAGCCACCUGGUUGGAAGGGUGGUGACGGUAGUGGUAGAAGAAGCACCGGCUAACUACGUG